AAAAAGUUUUAUUUUGGCUUAUUAAUUAGAUUUUUCCUUUAUUUACAUGUAAAUUUUUGUGUGAUAAUAAAAAUUAUUUAAAAAAUAAUUAAUAUUUAUAUUCGCAGUGGGUAAAAUUAAAUUUUAAAGAAAUUUAGAUUUAGGAAUGGUUUAAAAUAUUAACAAAAUUUGUGCCAGCAGUUGCGGUUAUACAAAUAAUGUAAUUUAAUUAUUUUAGUUAGAGUUAACUUGAAAAAUUUAAUUUUUAGUUUAAAAUUUAUUAGGUGAAAUUUUAAAUUUUAUAUAAGAUUAAAAUUAAUAAGUGAAGCUUAUAAAUUAAUUAUUAAACUAGGAUUAGAUACCCUAUUAUUUUUAAUGUAAAUUUAAAAUACUAAAUUAGUAUUAGUUAUGUUCUUGAAAAUUAAAAAAUUUGGCGGUAUUUUAGUCUUUUCAGAGGAACUUGCCCUGUAAUUGAUAGUCCACGAUUAGGUGUACUUUAAUUAUUAAUUUACAUAUCGUCGUAGUUUGAAUAUUUUAAUAGAAAAUUUAAUAUUCAAGAUUUUAUAUUAAAAAAUAAAUCAGAUCAAGGUGUAGUUUAUAUUAAAGUAGAGGUGAGUUACAAUAAAUUUAUUUUAGGAUAAUUUUUAUUAUAGAAAUUUGAAUAUGGAUUUGAGAGUAAUUUUAUACAUUUAUUUAAAAUGAUUAUAGCUCUAAAAUAUGUACAUAUCGCCCGUCGCUUUCAUUUUAAAAUGAAAUAAGUCGUAACAAAGUAGAUGUACUGGAAAGUGUAUCUAGAAAGAC
rnacentral:rRNA from 1 species